rnacentral:rRNA from 1 species
GCUUGUCUCAAAGAUUAAGCCAUGCAUGUCUUAGUGUAAAUAACUCUUAUGAAACUGCGAAUGGCUCAUUAAAUCAGUUAUCGUUUAUUUGAUGGUCCCUUACUACAUGGAUAACCGUAGUAAUUCUAGAGCUAAUACAUGCGUCAAGCCCCGACUCACGAAGGGGUGUAUUUAUUAGAUCCAACCAGCCCGGUUCGCCGGAGUCCCUGGUGAGUCAUAAUAACUGAGCGAAUCGCAUGGCCUUGUGCCGGCGAUGGUUCAUUCAAGUUUCUGCCCUAUCAGCUUUCGAUGGUAGGGUAUUGGCCUACCAUGGCGUUAACGGGUAACGGAGAAUUAGGGUUCGAUUCCGGAGAGGGAGCCUGAGAAACGGCUACCACAUCCAAGGAAGGCAGCAGG